ACUAAAAAAUCGUAACAAGGUCUCCGUAGGUGAACCUGCGGAGGGAUCAUUACACAAAUAUGAAGGCGGGCUGGAACCUCUCGGGGUUACAGCCUUGCUGAAUUAUUCACCCUUGUCUUUUGCGUACUUCUUGUUUCCUUGGUGGGUUCGCCCACCACUAGGACAAACAUAAACCUUUUGUAAUUGCAAUCAGCGUCAGUAACAAAUUAAUAAUUACAACUUUCAACAACGGAUCUCUUGGUUCUGGCAUCGAUGAAGAACGCAGCGAAAUGCGAUAAGUAGUGUGAAUUGCAGAAUUCAGUGAAUCAUCGAAUCUUUGAACGCACAUUGCGCCCUUUGGUAUUCCAAAGGGCAUGCCUGUUCGAGCGUCAUUUGUACCCUCAAGCUUUGCUUGGUGUUGGGCGUCUUGUCUCUAGCUUUGCUGGAGACUCGCCUUAAAGUAAUUGGCAGCCGGCCUACUGGUUUCGGAGCGCAGCACAAGUCGCACUCUCUAUCAGCAAAGGUCUAGCAUCCAUUAAGCCUUUUUUUCAACUUUGACCUCGGAUCAGGAG
rnacentral:rRNA from 1 species